UACGUAGGGCGCAAGCGUUGUCCGGAAUUAUUGGGCGUAAAGAGCUCGUAGGUGGCUUGUUGCGUCUGCCGUGAAAGCCCGUGGCUUAACUACGGGUCUGCGGUGGAUACGGGCAGGCUAGAGGCUGGUAGGGGCAAGCGGAAUUCCUGGUGUAGCGGUGAAAUGCGCAGAUAUCAGGAGGAACACCGGUGGCGAAGGCGGGUCUCUGGGCCGAUACUGACGCUGAGGAGCGAAAGCGUGGGGAGCGAACAGG
rnacentral:rRNA from 1 species